UUUGCAGAAAACUUGACCGUGCAAAGGUAGCAUAAUCAUUUGUCUUUUAAAUGGAAACUUGUAUGAACGGCAAAACCUUUUUCAGCUGUCUCCUUUUCUACCUUUUAAAUUUCUUUCUGUGUGAAGAAGCACAGAUACACAAGAAAGACGAGAAGACCCUGUCGAGCUUUAGCCACUAAGUGAAUAAUAUUGCCCAUUAAAUAUCACCCAAAGGCUUUGGUUGGGGCAACCAAGGAGAAAAAAAAUCCUCCAGAACAAAGAAGAAAACCCUUCACUGAUAACUUCCUAAAGAACCAAAUUGGCAUUCGGAAAAAGUUACCGCAGGGUUAACAGCGUAAUCCUCUCUGAGAGUCCUCAUUGACGAGAGGGUUUGCGACCUCGAUGUUGGAUUGGGGAACCCUUACGGUGCAGAAGCUGUAAAAGGUUAGACUGUUCGUCUAUUAAAACCCUACGUGAUCUGAGUUC
rnacentral:rRNA from 1 species